CCUGGCAAAGCGAGAGUCACCGGCAGCGGAGUGUCACAGACCACCAACAGGAUGACGCGCUCCUAAAGGGACUAUAAUAAUAUGUAUCAAUAAAAAUCUCUUUGGGUCAUCUAGAGCCCCAAACUCGUGAGAAAUCCCAAGGACUAGAAAGAGAAUUUCCCUCCUCUCUGUGUCCCAGUGUGACUGAAGCCUCCUACGCUGAUGCUCUUUUAAAUCCUCCAAAGGAUACAUAUAAAAAGUGGUUUCUUUCUGAGAACACAUGGCCAAUACAGAAAGCAAACAAACUUAAAAAAAAAAAAGAAAGAAAGAAAGAAGGAACGGAGUUUCAUCAUUGUCAUUUUUAGCAAACAGGGAAAAUUUUCUACAUUGGCUCUGGGCAGUCAUAAAUAGCAGUCGUGUACUAAGGUGCCAGUACUCAUACGCAAGCAACAAUUAGGGAAAGCCUAAAUAAGUUUAUCCUAAACAUAUUUUAGGAUGUUAAUGCCACAGAAUACUCAUAGAGUCUCAGGAUUCAGAGCUUUCCUGGAAGAAACUUAGAGAUUAUCUAGUCCAACUCUUCACUUUAUAGAUAAAACAACCGAAACCCAAAGGAAUAAAGUGACUUACAUACCUAAGUAGACACCCUCUUUUCCAGAGCUAAGGCCAAGCAAGAAAGCUGUCCCCUGGGCUUGGCGUAACAACAAUUCUUCGAGCUUACCUUCAGGAUGAACUCUGCUGUAGCUAAAGCACAGAAUUGGAUCAAGCCAGCCCCAGGUGGUUCCUGAGCUUGGACAAGCACCUGUAGGAACUACUUUCCAGUCAUGAAACCUGCUAUGAAUAGACUUUUUUUUCCCACUAGGCAAACUUGCCUCAUUAUUGCUGUUACCCCUCACCGCCUGGCUCUUUGUCUAGCC